GCACAUGCUCGCCGCAGCGGUCACCAGUGGAAGAGCGGCCUGUCAGGGCGCAGGAGAGCUUUCUGUGGGGCGUCUCAGGUGAGAGGGCCGCCCGCCAGCGAGUUCCCUUGGUCCAGGCGUGCCCCCCCCCCUUCCUCGCGGCUCCCGCCUUACCUGGGUGACGGAGAGGGCGGAGGCGCAGAUGAUCCCGCAGAGGAAGGCUGCGGCGUGCAGGGCCAGCUCGAUCAGGAGCAGCCCCGACAGCUGCGCCAUCUUCCAGCCGAGAGCAGGCCAAACGGGCCAGGAGAGAGCCGCCAGGCUGGCCGUCCCCGCCCCGUCGGGCUGGGAGGAGUUGCCUGCCAGCGCCCGGCCGGUGCCCUUAAGACAGGCAGCAGUCCCAACAGGGGCAGCCUCCCUCACAAUGGAGAAGCAAGCCGUCUUGGGCUGCCUAACGUUCCUUUCUGGCAACUGGAUUCAGCUCUGUUUCAGGUCCCUACAAUCCAAAUCCUGUUGCAUUGCCUCAUCUUGCUGAUUGUACUGACUUACACAGUGUAAUCUCUGCCUUGAGACUCAAUGAAAAGGGUGGACAAGAAUAAAGAAGUGGACAGUCAAAUGUGCAGGGGUUUAACAAGGUCAUUAAUGGGUCAGAAGUGAUGCAUCGAGGUUAAGUAAACUGCUCUGAGAACUUCUUGUUGAAAAGGGACAUACUGUAAAUAUUGUCACAAAUAAAUAAGGACGAGCAAG